GUAGGCUAUGGGGACAUGAGGCCCAUCACUGUGGGAGGCAAGAUUGUGGGCUCGCUGUGCGCCAUCGCUGGGGUCCUCACCAUCGCCCUGCCCGUGCCUGUCAUAGUCUCCAAU
rfam:Mesocricetus auratus contig172358, whole genome shotgun sequence.